GGGCUGGAGGUGGAGCGGAAGAUACUUAAAAUAACUGUGACAAUGAUGGUUAGCCAGUUUUUCUUGAGUCUGCUGAGUCUGUGGGGCAGGUUCCGUUUCUCCCGCCAGUCGGAUUGAACUAAGCCAGAAUUCGUUUGCGAAUAGAGGAGAGCAACCAACAAACCACUGUCUCUAAAGUGAAAACCAAAUAAGUGUAUUGUUGGUUAGUCUCGGCGAAGGGGUAGUGAUUGUUUGGAGACGGGUGGAUUAAUCAUCGGUUUACUAGUAUAUGCAACUGAAUCAGAUCUAUGGGUCUAUCCUCGAGGCGAACUCGAUUAGUUUGCGAGGCGAUCCAACCAGCUGAGGAAAUGGAACGAUAUUUUCCGAUCAAAUCGGGCCAACCGAGAGGAAUAACAAUUACCGUUUUUUAUUUCUUUCUCGAAUUCCUUUCAUAAGUGAAAUGUACUGAGGAAGAAGUAAGGGCAAAUUGUGAAUAUUCCGGACCUUUCCAUUUGGGACAGCUAUUUGGGACCUCAUUUGGUAUAUUGAGAGCACCAAAAUUUUUCCGCCUUGAGAACGCCAUCCAAUCAAAUAGUCGCAAAGAAAAAAACAUUCGGUGCGUGGUCAACUCGCGUGGUCGCAAAGGGCUUGAAAAAUAUUCAUGAGCUGAUGAACUGCACUUCGCGGGCGUUGUGGCAAGAAGUUCAUCUAGCAGAAAUCUUCUUUUAUCCUCACAAGUUGCUGCAAAAUCCAUCAACAUUCAGCGUAGGAUAUGUCCGUACAUCAGGAGCUGCUACCAAACACAAAUACCUGCAACAAGAUCUCCAGUUGUGCAAAGUAAGCUUACUGCAACCCAACUUCUCAAGCACGUGUGGCAUGAAACAGAGAUGCGAAAGCGCUUUCGCGGAGGAUACAAUGGUUUCUGAGUCUUUUUCGAGAGAAGAGAUACAAAAAUGUACAUUGUAUAGCUGCGAUAGUGGCAGAACAAGCACUCACAAGGCCACCCUUGACAAGAUUAGUUCAGACUGGAAUACAUUGCUAUGAUGGGGUGCAUCGUGAAUUCAAAGCAACUGUUGGAAAUGUGCUGUUCAGCUCACUCAGCAAUGACUGGAAUUGAAAUGAUGUGGGACCUGAUGAAUUCAACUCUAGCAGCAGAAAAAUAGAAAUGUCCUGCUGAUCAUUUGACAAUGACUGGAAUUGCUAUGAGGA
rnacentral:misc_RNA from 1 species